CAGGAAAGAAAGAAAAAGAAAAAAAAUAUUGGAAGAGAAAUGGUUUGCUUGCUUCCUCCCUUUCUCGAGUCAAGUUUGUUUUGUUUUUUGUUUCGUACAUGCAAAACUUUCGACCAAU
rnacentral:ribozyme from 1 species